rnacentral:rRNA from 1 species
AUUGAACGCUGGCGGCAGGCUUAACACAUGCAAGUCGAGCGGAGCGAGGGUGCUUGCACCUUAGCUUAGCGGCGGACGGGCGAGUAAUGCUUAGGAAUCUGCCUAUUAGUGGGGGACAACAUUCCGAAAGGAAUGCUAAUACCGCAUACGCCCUACGGGGGAAAGCAGGGGACCUUCGGACCUUGCGCUAUCAGAUGAGCCUAGGUCGGAUUAGCUAGUUGGUGGGGUAAUGGCUAACCAAGGCGACGAUCCGUAACUGGUCUGAGAGGAUGAUCAGUCACACUGGAACUGAGACACGGUCGAGACUCCUAAGGGAGGCAGCAGUGGGGAAUAUUGGACAAUGGGCGAAAGCCUGAUCCAGCCAUGCCGCGUGUGUGAAGAAGGUCUUCGGAUUGUAAAGCACUUUAAGUUGGGAGGAAGGGCAGUAAGCUAAUACCUUGCUGUUUUGACGUUACCGACAGAAUAAGCACCGGCUAACUCUGUGCCAGCCGCCGCCGAAC